AAGAGCUCUUCAUCUCUGGUUUAGUAAGUUCUUGACUUUAGUCAAUUUGAGCGUCUGUGCUCUAUAUCUCUGAUUAUCUUCUUUGUUUUGUGUUCUAAUUCUAUAUUUAAAAAAAAAAGAUCGAGAUCGAAUGUUUGUUUUCAAAGGCAGCAAAUUGUAAUAGUUUUUUAUGAAAGAUAUAAAACCCAAACAACCUUAGUGAUCGUUUGAGGCCCAUUGUUCACAAAAUUGAAUCCCUUGGGUCUCUCAACUUCACGGUUCACCAGUUUACCGGAGAAGAUAAAACUCUAGCUCCUCCUCCGCUCAGGGGAAGUUAAACUUCAACCGAACAGCUUCUACUAGCCCUUCUCUCUAGGAUGAACCGUGCAAUCUCCGGAGAAGUUCCAGAGGAGCCAGUGGUUUCGACCAAGUCAGGUUUGCUCUUCAAGAAGCGAUUAAUCGAGAGGCAUAUAUAUAUCUGAUUAUGGGAAGUGUCCUGUUACUGGCGAACCUCUUUUACCAUUGAUGAUAUUGUUCCCAUCAAAACUGGCAAGGUCUUGAACAUUGCAUACAGCUAGCAUCCCUGGAUUGCUUGGAACGUUCCAGAAUGUUGAAUUAAACAAGGUAGUUAGUGGAAAUUUUUUAUCUGUUUUGCACUUUUCGGAAUGGGACGGUUUGAUGCUAUCAAAUUUUGCAUUGGAGCAACAACUGAAUACUGCACGACAAGAGCUAAGUCAUGCCUUGUAUCAGCAUGAUUCUGCUUGUCGCGUGAUUGCUCGGCUUAAAAAAGAAAGAGAUGAAGCACGCCAAUUGCUUUCAGAAACUGAAAGACAUAUAUACCUGCUGCCCCAGAAGCAGUAGAGUUUGACCCCUAGCGGAUUUUAUCUUGACUAUACCAGACGGCGUGUGUGAAAGCUGAAUGGAACCUUAUCAAGACACUCCCAGAUCUCUCCGGCCCUGGUAAAACUCCUUGCCUAAAACUCUCAAGCCCAAGAACCUUUGUAACUUGCAGGUAAAGCUACAUGCGUGAAGUUUGGUUCAGGUGCACGGUACAUUGCAGUUGGUUCAAUGGACAGUAACCUACGGAUAUUUGGUAUUCCUAGUGACGAAAGAGCCAACAACGAAUGAUAACUCUGUUCGUGAAGAAUACGUUAGAAAACUCGGUCAUCUCGUGUUAUACCUAUCCCUCUUGAGUCUCAACUUCUGUUGUAUCUUAAACAUAAUGUUCAGAGCUAUAGGAAGAAUUUGUGCAAGUGUGAUGGUGGUUUCUGUGGUGCUUCCUGGAGCCCAAACGUUCACACUCGCACACACUUGAGAGUUUUCUUGAUCUAUUUCCUCUUAUAUCUUUUUUUUUUUUUUUUUUGAACAGCUCCUCUUAUAUCUUAUAGGUUUUUGUACCUUUAAAACAUCUUCUUUCGUUGAUC